ACAGUUGAGGUACAGAGACAGCGUUCGCAGUCAGCUUGCUAGAGGACCUACACGGGCUCCUCAAGUUCCGCUGCUUCCUCCUCCAAGCUUGCUAGUAUUGAAAACCCAGGAGUUUGGGGUCAUUCAUCAGGAGGAUUCUGCUCCAGUUUGCCCCCUUCUUGGUCCUAGGAUACUGGAGGGCCAGAGAAAGCAAGCUUGAAACAGAGAGGAACGGGUCACUUUGGUGGAGGAAAUUGGGCCACCAAGCAGCCCUAUGGAGAGGCCAAUGUGGAGAGAAACUGAGGCCUUCCACCAAAAGCCAGCACCAACUUGCUAUCCAUGUGAGUGAACCAGCUUGCAGUACAGAGUGGUCAACCCCAGUCAAGCUUUCAGAUAACUACAAGCCUAGUUGACAUCUUGACUACAACUUCAAGAGAGACAUCAAGGCAGAACUGCUUCGCUAAACUGCUCUUGAAUUCUUGACCCACAGAAACUGAGAGAGAGAAUAAAUAUUUAUUGUUGUUUCAAGUAACUA
rnacentral:lncRNA from 1 species